rnacentral:lncRNA from 1 species
GUGUUUGAGCGGGACCAUGUUAGUAUAUAUAGCGUUUUUUUUAUUAAUAAUAACAGUAUAAUACUAGGUAGAUGAAAAAUCUCUCUCGUUGAUAUUCUGUACAUGUAUUUACUUUUUCGAAAACAAUUAGAUAUAAAAAGAUAGGGAAAUUGCCACAAAUACCACAUUUAUAGUACUAUGGCUGAAAUAAGGUUUUUGAAAUAUGAAAUUUAGGAUUCUAAUAAAUAUAUAAAUAAAUACUUAAAAAUAUAUUAAAAUUUUUGAAAAUAGUUUCAAACAUAAUUUUUGAUUUUCAAAAAA